CCAGACUCCUACGGGAGGCAGCAGUGGGGAAUCUUGCACAAUGGGCGAAAGCCUGAUGCAGCGACGCCGCGUGCGGGACGAAGGCCUUCGGGUUGUAAACCGCUUUCAGCAGGGACGAGGCGUAAGUGACGGUACCUGCAGAAGAAGCCCCGGCUAACUACGUGCCAGCAGCCGCGGUAAUACGUAGGGGGCAAGCGUUAUCCGGAUUCAUUGGGCGUAAAGCGCUCGUAGGCGGUCUGUUAGGUCGGGAGUUAAAUCCGGAGGCUCAACCUCCGUCCGCUCCCGAUACCGGCAGACUUGAGUUUGGUAGGGGAAGGUGGAAUUCCUAGUGUAGCGGUGGAAUGCGCAGAUAUUAGGAAGAACACCAGUGGCGAAGGCGGCCUUCUGGGCCAUAACUGACGCUGAGGAGCGAAAGCUAGGGGAGCAAACAGGAUUAGAUACCCUGGUAGUCCUAGCUGUAAACGAUGGACACUAGGUGUGGGGGAGCCUUUCCUCCGUGCCGCAGCUAACGCAUUAAGUGUCCCGCCUGGGGAGUACGGCCGCAAGGCUAAAACUCAAAGGAAUUGACGGGGGCCCGCACAAG
rnacentral:rRNA from 1 species